CAUAGCGCCCCUCGCGCGGCCCCGCCCAGUGCGUUACCUCAGGGCAGAGGUCUCCCAUUGCUUCUUCCUUAGCUUUCCCCGCCUGCUGGGAAACGGCCGCCCCUUGUGCGGUGUUCCGCAGCAGACGGUGUCCUCCCUGAGAAAGCGCAGUGGAGCGGGUGCUGCCCCUAACCGGAGCCUCCGUCCUCUGCUAUGAACUGCUCCCCUCGUCACUCCCUCCUGCUGUUGUUGCUGCAACACGUUUUCUCCUUAAACGAAAGGCAGUCAGUCAGUCAGAGCCGUCAGGUUUCACAGAUAACCAGGGGACUGCAGAGGAAUGAAACAGAGAGCAAAUCUGGCCCAAAGUUCAUCUGGGUAAAGCAGCCAAACGCUUCAUCAUAUGGCACCAGAGAAACUUUGCUAUACAACUGAGGAAAGCUCCAGAUCCCACACGUGGAAAAGGCUGAUUUUUGCAAACAGUUGUACAUGUAUUAUCUUGUUAUUAGUAUGGAUAUAGUGUAUCACAAAAAUCGUAAAUGGAUUGCAGGAUUCCCUUUAUAUUAAUCAAGAUACUUCUCCUGAGGAAUAAAAAUAUAUUAGUAUCAUGCAUUUUGUUACUUCUAGCUCAUAUAGUCCCUUUCUAUUUCCCCACUGUAUUUGAAACCUUGGAGCAGUGCAUAUGCCUGGCACGUUCCCAGUUUUAUGCACCAUUUUUGCCGAAAUGGAAUAUUUAAGUCAUUACUUCCAAAGCCUUAUCUAUACUCAGAAUGAAUCAUCUGCAGAGGAAUCUGUGUAUAUUGUCUCAGUUACAAUGUGCCCAGGGCACUCACCCCGCAAGUCCUGGAUUCACUCCCAGAAGCAGUAGGUUCUGGGAGAUUUUUAGAACACCUUUUAAAUUUUUGGAUGACAGACAACUAAAUUAAGUUUUUAAGUAGAGAUGCAUGCACCAAUCUCUCUCACGUACACCAGAAACACAUGCAUUUUCAGUUCAUACUGCAUGCUAUCUCUACAUCACUACUGACCAUAUGAAAAUAGGCAUCAGGUUAAAUAUUCCACUGUAUAUCUGGCAGAAGUUUCUUCACAAAUAAUCUGGAAUUCCUAUCAUGUCUCUGUUCUGUGGGCUACCUUCUUAUAAGCAUUGAUAAUGAAGUUUUCCGAUCACUUCCCAUUAAAGAACUUCGUUUUUAGAUAUUUUGUGAUAUUCCCGAUGUCUAACCACGCUGACUGACACUUUUCAAGAGGUAGAAAAUACUCCAGAAAAUUCACUUAAACAAUUCAGCAUUUUCUAAGAGCAAGGUUAGGGAAAACAAUAGAUUCACAGAAUCAUAGAA